AAUAAGUUGGCAGAAUAUUGCCAUCGACUUAGAAUCGAUUCAUGGGUCACCCACUUAUUA
rnacentral:tRNA from 1 species